CACUCUUCAUGGGACGCCAGUCUACUUCACUUCAGACACACCUAACUUAGGGACCAACGACUAGCAAACAUGUCUUUUGGGAGAUGGAAACCAAAAUGGAGCACCUGGAGAAAACCCACAAGAACACAUGAAAACGUUUAAACUCACUGAAGGCAACCUAGUCCGCAAUCAAGCCCAGAACCUAAGAUUCAUAAGACCACGACUUUCUGAGGAUGGAUGGAUAUACUGUACAGUACUGCUUAAAUUGUACUGCAAUUGAAAUACACAACGCAGAAUAUGCAUGUUUAAAAGGCCACCGGAAACGUGAGAAGUAUGGUACUAUCAUUACUGUUUGUUCUAAGAGGAUGUGCAUUAGCUGAAAACAAGGCGAUUCUUUUAUACACAGUGGGACAUGACCAGUUUGAGGAUGGUGAGCGGACUGGAGCACAGUGGACCCCUCUCCGGCUGCGCAAGGCCCCGCCCCACCUCG